rnacentral:rRNA from 1 species
AGCGAACGCUGGCGGCAGGCUUAACACAUGCAAGUCGAACGCCCGGGCAACCGGGAGUGGCAGACGGGUGAGUAACACGUGGGAACGUACCCCUUGGUUCGGAAUAACUCAGGGAAACUUGAGCUAAUACCGGAUAAGCCCUUUUGGGGAAAGAUUUAUCGCCGAAGGAUCGGCCCGCGUCCGAUUAGUUAGUUGGUGAGGUAAUGGCUAACCAAGGCGACGAGCGGUAGCUGGUCUGAGAGGAUGAUCAGCCACACUGGGACGGAGACAAGGCCCAGACUCCUACGGGAGGCAGCAGUGGGGAAUAUUGGACAAUGGGGGCAACCCUGAUCCGACCAUGCCGCGUUAGUGAUGAAGGCCUUAGGGUUGUAAAGCUCUUUCGGCGGGGACGAUAAUGACGGUACCCGCAGAAGAAGCCCCGGCUAACUUCGUGCCAGCCGCCGCGGUAA